AGCAGCCGCGGUAAUUCCAGCUCCAAUAGCGUAUAUUAAAGUUGUUGCAGUUAAAAAGCUCGUAGUUGAAUUUCGGGAUUUGCACAUCGGUCGUGCCUUAAGGGGUAUGAACUGGUGUAGUGAAUUUCUCACCUUCUGGAGAACCGUGAUGUCCUUUAUUGGGUGCCACGAGGAACCAGGACCUUUACUUUGAAAAAAUUAGAGUGUUUAAAGCAGGCAUUUUUGCUUGAAUACAUUAGCAUGGAAUAAUAAAAUAGGACGGCAUGAUUCUAUUUUGUUGGUUUCUAGGAUCACCGUAAUGAUUAAUAGGGAUAGUUGGGGGCAUUAGUAUUCAAUUGUCAGAGGUGAAAUUCUUGGAUUUAUUGAAGACUAACUACUGCGAAAGCAUUUGCCAAGGAUGUUUUCAUUAAUCAAGAACGAAAGUUAGGGGAUCGAAGACGAUCAGAUACCGUCGUAGUCUUAACCAUAAACUAUGCCGACUAGGAAUCAGACGAUGUUAAUUUUUUAAUGACUCGUUUGGCACCUUACG
rnacentral:rRNA from 1 species